rnacentral:rRNA from 1 species
AGAGCGAACGCUGGCGGCAGGCUUAACACAUGCAAGUCGAGCGGGCGUAGCAAUACGUCAGCGGCAGACGGGUGAGUAACGCGUGGGAACAUACCUUUUGGUUCGGAACAACCCAGGGAAACUUGGGCUAAUACCGGAUAAGCCCUUACGGGGAAAGAUUUAUCGCCGAAAGAUUGGCCCGCGUCUGAUUAGCUAGUUGGUGAGGUAACGGCUCACCAAGGCGACAAUCAGUAGCUGGUCUGAGAGGAUGAUCAGCCACAUUGGGACUGAGACACGGCCCAAACUCCUACGGGAGGCAGCAGUGGGGAAUAUUGGACAAUGGGCGCAAGCCUGAUCCAGCCAUGCCGCGUGAGUGAUGAAGGCCCUAGGGUUGUAAAGCUCUUUUGUGCGGGAAGAUAAUGACGGUACCGCAAGAAUAAGCCCCGGCUAACUUCGCGCCAGCAGCCGC